rnacentral:lncRNA from 1 species
UUUUCUUUCAUGCAUAUAUAGGUUCUAGUUUCCUAUUGUUCUUAGUCUUUAACUUCAAAGGCUACAAAGAAGGGGAAAGAAAAGUGCAUUUGAAUCUCAUGGAAUUCAGUUAUGGUGGUGUAAUGGUGAUAGGCUGGCCAAGUCAGUCGAGUCGACUGCAGAGAGAUUUGUGGGUUAUAGUGUCAAACAAGAUUUACCCCCUCAAGUACUGGGUUUUUACACGUCGAGUCGUCGGUUCCGAUUUGAUACCGGUACCUUGAUGGUAGUUUGUGUUUAUAUAGAUGGGCAGUUGACUUAAAAAUGCCUAAGGGUGCUCGCUCCUCAGUAUCUGUCAUUGCCAUGGUGCCACUCCCCCAUGCCAUGGCUCAGUAUUGGCAAAUUUCUUUCAAAAAACGAGAGGUUUUGCAGUUCUAAUAUUUAUUUGUUAUGCCUAUUUUUAGGUGGUUUGAGUGUUGCAUCCUCUACUUAUAGCCUGUUUGUUUCCCUUUUUUUUUUUUUUUAGUAAAAUUGCAUUUUGAAAUAGUUAACUGAUGAAAAAUGUGUGGUUAAGAAAUAAGAAAAUUUUUAGUUUUGC